CGGCGUGGGAUCGUCAAAGAUUUUAUUUUCCAAGGGCAUUCGUACUUCUCCAAGGAAAUCGUUGCGUCCAAACAUGUCGGAAUGCCAAACUGUUAACCAUAGUGUCCUGGUCUCCAGACCGCUCAAACUCAUAUGGAACUGUAAUAGUAUGAAGUGGAAUUUAACCGAACAGAAAAAAAGGAGGAAGCCAUUUGCUUCAAGGAAUUGACUCGAGCCCAGUCUGACAAAGGCAGAGAAUCGAUAUAGUGAGUGAAAGUGGGAUACACACUGUUUGCCGAAAAUUGAGGGUCAAGACGCGGGACUUCAAAGCGACGCCACUAUCCCAAGAACAGUUGUUUUUUAACGUUCUCCUUUAGAGCAGUUUGAAAGCGACACCGAACAGUACAUUGUCACGCAAUAAUUUUCUCCAAAAUUUCACUGGACUCUCAUACCCAUAAACUUCGAGUUGGAAAGGCGAGAUUAAACAGUUCAAUCUCGACCAUUUUAGAAGCGAGAAUGUCCUUUAUUUCACCGUGAAACAAUUAUCAUCGGCCAGAUGUAGAUGAAGGAUUUUCGACGAUGUAUUUUGAAAGUUCUCUGAGGGAUAGGAACGAGUAAACCGUCGUUGUCCGAGUUGGGAUAAUAGGCGGAAAUAUACGUUAAUUAACUGGAGGACAAUCGAAUUCACCGUUCGGAACGAAGAUCUAUAGGGAUUAAAAAAGGUAAGCAAGGAUUGUCCACAGAAAGGAAGAAUCGGUUGAGCAGAACAUUUUUUUUAAGCAAAAAAAGAUUGUCUUAUAUUAUAUGAGCUAGUAGAUUAAUCUAUUAUCAAGUAUAAUUAUCUUCACUGAAACGGUAUGAAAAACUUUAAUGUCUUGGAAUCUAGAACGAUACUUUAAUAUCUACUUUGAUUGAUUGCCUCUAAAUUUUAGAAUAAAAUUAUUGUUCUCUUUUCGAUUUUAUUUUAUGAAACGUAUGAAAAAAAUUAAGAAAACCGACAUUAAAGUUUCUGAAUGUUGUCAUUUAUUAAUUCUUAAUUACAGUUAUCGUAUAAUUUACGACAGCAAAACACAUACUAAGAAAACUAAAUAAAGCUUCGUUUGUCAAAUAAGUCGAAUAGUCGACGUCAUGGAAGUUAGGAGGGAAUUUUUUUUAAAAGAUUGUGCCCGGGGAUCACGAUUAUCGUCAACUUUGAUUAUAACCUUUUAAAGAAUUUGUAAAUACUAAAAACAUGUAACUGAAUAUGUACGAAAAAUCCCUUUAACAAAAGUUUUAUAGUUUAUUUAUAAAAAAGUGCUAAAGCAAGGCUAAAAGACCACGUUUUCUAGUGAUUCCUUAAUUUAAUGUCGUAAUAAAGUAAAAUUGGUAAGCCAGUCCUUCAAAUUUGUUCAGUCCGUUCAUUGACUUCAACGCAAUAGAAAUACCUUACAUUAUAGAGCUCUAGCUCGUACCUGUGAUUUCGCUUAUCUACUCUUAAUAUUAUGAAUAACUUGUAUUUGCAAUAUGCAUUUUGCAAAUACAGUAAAACACGUGUUAAAUUGAGGAUUUAUACCAAGCUUUAAUAGAAUCGUCAAAUAAUUUUGUUCCUUAAGAGUUGAAUUUGGAAAAAUGCCUUAUUAGUAAAUUUGUACGCCAUGAAAAGAAGUUACUGUCCACAUUUCAAGUUUUCAACUUUAUUCAUCAACACAAAGCUGAAACCACUAAAAUUAAAA